rnacentral:tRNA from 1 species
AAUCUGGUAUUGCAAAAGACCUAAACUCUUUCUACAGAGGUUCAAAUCCUCUCAUUAACU